rnacentral:rRNA from 1 species
AGGAACACCGAUGGCGAAGGCAACUUGCUGGCCUAAGAUUGACGCUGAAACACGAAAGCGUGGGUAGUGAACGGGAUUAGAUACCCCGGUAAUCCACGCCCUAAACGUUGUCUACCAGUUGUUAGAGGUAUUAACUCCUCUAGUAACGAACCUAACGGAUUAAGUAGACCGCCUGGGGACUACGCUCGCAAGAGUGUAACUCAAAGGAAUUGACGG